rnacentral:tRNA from 1 species
GCACACUUAGCUCAGUGGUUAGAGCACCCUUCUAGUUUUUGGGGAAAACAGGUCAAGGGUUUAAUUCCCGUAAUGCACA